rnacentral:rRNA from 1 species
GAUGAACGCUGGCGGCGUGCUUAACACAUGCAAGUCGAACGAAGCACUUUAUUUGAUUUCCUUCGGGACUGAUUAUUUUGUGACUGAGUGGCGGACGGGUGAGUAACGCGUGGGUAACCUGCCUUGUACAGGGGGAUAACAGUUGGAAACGGCUGCUAAUACCGCAUAAGCGCACGGCAUCGCAUGAUGCAGUGUGAAAAACUCCGGUGGUAUAAGAUGGACCCGCGUUGGAUUAGCUAGUUGGUGAGGUAACGGCCCACCAAGGCGACGAUCCAUAGCCGACCUGAGAGGGUGACCGGCCACAUUGGGACUGAGACACGGCCCAAACUCCUACGGGAGGCAGCAGUGGAGAAUAUUGCACAAUGGGCGAAAGCCUGAUGCAGCGACGCCGCGUGAGCGAAGAAGUAUUUCGGUAUGUAAAGCUCUAUCAGCAGGGAAGAUAAUGACGGUACCUGACUAAGAAGCACCGGCUAAAUACGUG